UAUUAUGAUUUGGUUUUAUGUCUUUGGCAAUUCAUAGCUAGUAGAUUUUUCGAAAUGUAAAUGUAAUAUAGUCAUAAAUGCCAAUAUGACAGUGUUUUGUAAGAUUCUUAUGCUAUUUCAGAAACAUAUCAAUAUAUUGUAUUCUUCAUAGCAAAGGACAAAGCAGACGCGAUACGCCGGCCGAAGACAGGUGGUGGACCGAAGCCCCCCUCACCCUCUCUACCAGAGGCUAUGGUCCUAGAGGACUUAGCUGACAGGCCUACCCUACAAGGCCUGGUAGAUGGCUUUGACACGGAAGGUAAGUGAUGCUAUUUUAACAUAAUAGAACACUUUAAAAUUCAAGGUCAUAACGUUUUAAUUGUUUGGAAAAAAAGGUUUCAUACGCACAAUUGACCAUACGCCUUGCCUUAAAAAUUUGCAGUAAUAUCAAGAGUUGCCAUUCUCAUUAAUUAAAUUUUUCUCCAUUUUGUGCAUGACCGAGUGUCACAUUGUGCUGAAUUUAUAUCUUGUGAUUUUGGUCAUCUCAUUUUAUCAAAUAUCGAUUAUAGGGAAGUCGAAAUGAAUAAUAAGUCUAUUAUUGCAUCAAAAGCAAUCUAAAGUGGGUAUAAAUGCACUAAUAUAGCCAAUUGCAUUUCGGAAAGUGUGCUCUUGUGCCCUUAAUUAGUACACAUGAAGGCUGAUAAAUAAUUUUUAAGUUUUGAAGUCAAAUCUGAGUAGUUAUAUUAAAAUCAUAUGAGCCCAUAAAUAAAUUGCCUGAGGAUUAGGCAGAUCACCAACUUGUUGAGUUGUAUCUGUUACAGAUUUCAGUAGUGUGAUCAACUCCAUGGCGAUGGAGGGGAGUCUGCCCGAAGGUGAAGCUCACCUACCUGUCAGUCAGGAAUGUAUUCCCAAUCACACCUUGCCUGUUGAUGUCCUCAUUGACAAUCAGGGUAUGCUGCACAUCCCCUCCACAACAACAACAACGAAAUUGAGCAAGAAAAGAAAGUUACUCGAUGAUGAAGUGUCUGUUCUCCAAGCAGAAAGAGACAAAUACAUUGCAGAAUGUGAAAAGUUAAAGCAAGAAGCCA
rnacentral:misc_RNA from 1 species